GCCUGGCUGGCUCAGUCAGCAGAGCACAUGACUCUUGAUCUUGGGGUUGUAGGUUCAAGCCCCAUGUUAGGUG
rnacentral:tRNA from 1 species